AGCCUCGUCAAGUAUGGUUGCAGCCACAUUGAACCUGUCAUUCACUUUCUUGCUUGCCAUCCUUGGUUCACCCAUUUUCUAUUGACUGAAGUAUUUUUCUUGCUCCUUCCUUUCUUUGGCUAACCUCAGUUUCUUUAGGUUUUUGCUCAGGGGUUCCUGUCUAUCUCAUGAUUUACUCCCACCCCCCAGAUUGGUGCCUUUCCCCCCUUUACCAGAGGCUUUCUUACCAUUUCUGCCUGCCUCUGGGGAGCCCUUUUUAAAUAAGGGAUUAUGGGGGUUUGCCUCUCCCAUCCUUUUGCCUGACCCUGGAACUCUUGUGUGCCUUGGAAGCUCCUGGUCUGGAAAGUGAUGAGAAGAGGAGCAGUUCCUCUACAGACCUGGGAACCAAACUAGGUUCCGUGGGCUUGAUCCAUACAGCUUUGACUUUGUACAAAUUUCUGGAUCAUUCUGUGAUUUAGUCACCUGAACAUAUGGGAAAAUAAAUAAUGUUUCUCUCCAUGACAGGAUUAUUAAGAAGCUAGAAUGAGGGAAAGUGUAUAAAGGGUGCAUAUGAAAGGCUCCACAUUAGGGAUGUUCAUGUGGCUAUGGUGGAGGGUGCCUGAGAAGGAAGGUUGCUGGGGCCACACUGAGCUCUGUGAGAGUGGAUUUGACUCUGUUCUGGGGAGGCAUGAAAGUGAUUACAUGUUGAGAAAUGAUUGGAUGUAAUUUUAGAAAGAAUACUAGCAGGAAUGUGAUGGAUUGCAAAGAACCAGUUAGGAGGCGGUACAGUUUGCAUGGAAGCAAAGGGCUUAGGGGCCAGGACUGACUCAGGGAACACUUCUGAGGUGUCACAGUAGGGCCUGUAGGGUAAUAGGAGGGGGCUGGGAAGAAUUGUGUGAUUACAGUCAAGAUGCCGAUGCCGAAGUAAUCUGUGUGAUAAUGUGAUUUAAUCAUGAUCAGAAAUGGGAAGGAAUGGAGAAGUAUGUGUGUGUGUGUGUGUGUGUGUGUGUGUGUGUGUGUGUGUGUGUGUGUGUGUACUAGGUUUGGGGCUUGUCUCAGAAGAGACAUGUGCCAUAAAAGGGUGGGUGGGUGGUAUUGUGCAGGAAUGCAGCAGGGAGAAAGGGCCAGUGAGGGAACCCUACAUUUAAGAGAGUGUUUAAGGCUGCUCAGAGUGGAACUAGAGGAAACUGAGAAUGAAGGAGUGACUGGGGAAGUUAGAGAAGACAGGGAGGAGGGCAGAGUGAGGUCUGAAAGGAGGAGGUGGGCAGCAGAUCAAUUUGCCUGUGACUCCCACCCUGGCUUUGAUGGAGAGGGAAGGGCAGAUGUCUCGGAUGCAGUGGUGUAAAAGGUGAAUGGAGCAGUGAGGAGACGGAGGCUGGGGGCCGAGCUGUUCAUCUAAGAUGCUCGUCAGUGAGGUUUCCCGUACAGAAUGACGGUGAGCUGCAUUUUGCCAGGUUUUCCUCCCUCAAGUGCUUGGGCAUCAUUUCCAUUUAGUCACUAGGGAGUUGUCCCAGGUAUUGGAUGCAGCAUUAUUUUCUCAUGCUUGGUUCUCCACCUACCUGUGGCCCAGUGUUCUCAGUCCUGGCUGCACUGUAAACUUAACUGAGCUUUAACACUUGCAGACUCUCCUUCAGAGAUUCUGCUUUAGUUGACCCAGGGUGGGUCCCAAGCACUGUUUACUUGGGUUUGAAGCCUUUAGGUCGUGCUAAUGUGUAGCCAGCACAGAAAGGCACAAGGGCCAUGCCAUAAGGAUGCCUUGCUACAUGUGUCAUGUGGGACAGUAAAGUGACAGGUCUGUGGGCACAGUGUGCGAAAGGAGAGGAAAGUCAAGUUUGGAAGACACUGUUUCGCGGGGGCUGCAUGCAUGGACCCUGAGUGCAGUGUGAAGCGGACUGUGGUCCUGUAUAGGCAGAAAGGACAUCGGGUCUGGGGCAGAGUCUCAGGCUCUGACUCCCUCGGGCUGGCUCCUCAGUUGGGAAUUGAGGUGAUUGGACUAAAUGCCUUCUAGUUACCCUCUGCCAUAAACUUCAGGUCUCAGUUCUAAAAUGUUUUAAGACAGUUAAUGCCUAUAAAA